rnacentral:rRNA from 1 species
UCCAGACUCCUACGGGAGGCAGCAGUGGGGGAUAUUGCACAAUGGGGGGAACCCCGAUGCAGCGACGCCGCGUGGGUGAAGGAGCGUUUCGGCGCGUAAAGCCCUCUCGGCAGGGAAGAAGGAGGACGGUACCUGACUAAGAAGCCCCGGCUAACUACGUGCCAGCAGCCGCGGUAAUACGUAGGGGGCAAGCGUUAUCCGGAUUUACUGGGUGUAAAGGGGGCGCAGACGGCAGCGCAAGCCAGGAGUGAAAGCCCGGGGCCCAACCCCGGGACUGCUCUUGGAACUGCGCGGCUGGAGUGCAGGAGGGGCAGGCGGAAUUCCUGGUGUAGCGGUGAAAUGCGUAGAUAUCAGGAGGAACACCGGUGGCGAAGGCGGCCUGCUGGACUGCGACUGACGUUGAGGCCCGAAAGCGUGGGGAGCAAACAGGAUUAGAUACCCGCGUAACC